ACAUGCAAGUCGAACGGCAGCGCGGGGCAACCUGGCGGCGAGUGGCGAACGGGUGAGUAAUACAUCGGAACGUACCCAGAAGUGGGGGAUAACGUAGCGAAAGUUACGCUAAUACCGCAUACGUUCUACGGAAGAAAGUGGGGGACCUUCGGGCCUCAUGCUUUUGGAGCGGCCGAUGUCUGAUUAGCUAGUUGGUGAGGUAAAGGCUCACCAAGGCGACGAUCAGUAGCUGGUCUGAGAGGACGACCAGCCACACUGGGACUGAGACACGGCCCAGACUCCUACGGGAGGCAGCAGUGGGGAAUUUUGGACAAUGGGCGCAAGCCUGAUCCAGCAAUGCCGCGUGAGUGAAGAAGGCCUUCGGGUUGUAAAGCUCUUUUGUCAGGGAAGAAACGGCCGAGGCUAAUACCUUUGGCUAAUGACGGUACCUGAAGAAUAAGCACCGGCUAACUACGUGCCAGCAGCCGCGGUAAUACGUAGGGUGCAAGCGUUAAUCGGAAUUACUGGGCGUAAAGCGUGCGCAGGCGGUUUUGUAAGUCUGACGUGAAAUCCCCGGGCUCAACCUGGGAAUUGCGUUGGAGACUGCAAGGCUGGAGUCUGGCAGAGGGGGGUAGAAUUCCACGUGUAGCAGUGAAAUGCGUAGAGAUGUGGAGGAACACCGAUGGCGAAGGCAGCCCCCUGGGUCAAGACUGACGCUCAUGCACGAAAGCGUGGGGAGCAAACAGGAGUAGAUACCCUGGUAGUCCACGCCCUAAACGAUGUCUACUAGUUGUCGGGUCUUAAUUGACUUGGUAACGCAGCUAACGCGUGAAGUAGACCGCCUGGGGAGUACGGUCGCAAGAUUAAAACUCAAAGGAAUUGAC
rnacentral:rRNA from 1 species